GUCGCUUCAGCUUUGAGCCAACAUCAAAGCUGUCUGUAUUAUGCCAAAUUGAUUGAAUCUCCUGGGAGACACACAUGCAAAUUCCGUUAGUUAUGUCAAUCAACAUAGCCAGAGAGAGCUCAGAGUGUUUACUACGAGCGUAUUAAUAGAACUGCAAAAGUUGAAAUUAGCCGAAGAGGAAAAAUCAAUUUGGCGACAGUUCGUGCCAAAAUGCAGAGCUGGCAUGUCAGCGUCAAAUGCGUGUAUGAGGCAUCUGUGGCAUGGCCACAAUUCGAGCCGGGAUGUCGAUUAUGAGCCUAAGUGCCAGACGUGCUCCGCAUGGGGAAUGUGUGUGGGGAAUCGCCUGGCGCAGCUAUUAACGCAGUCACGGAGACAAGGCCAGUGGAGACCCAUUAGAUAUGCAAAGGCAGCCAACAAAACAGCCCCUGGGAGGAUACCAACACUCAUUCACACACAAUCACACACACACACAUAGCCGCACACAUUUGCGGAACUUGACUGAACUGA